rnacentral:rRNA from 1 species
UACGGGGGGAGCAAGCGUUGUUCGGAUUUACUGGGCGUAAAGGGCGCGUAGGCGGCGUGACAAGUCACUUGUGAAAUCUCCGGGCUUAACUCGGAACGGUCAAGUGAUACUGUCGUGCUAGAGUGCGGAAGGGGCAACUGGAAUUCUUGGUGUAGCGGUGAAAUGCGUAGAUAUCAAGAGGAACACCUGCGGCGAAGGCGGGUUGCUGGGCCGACACUGACGCUGAGGCGCGAAAUCUAGGGGAGCGAACGGG